rnacentral:lncRNA from 1 species
UUUCUGUGGUUAGUGUUCUGAUGUCGCGAAAUAAAUAAUCUUUGAAGUAAUUCUUGAUUCUUAGAUCAACUAGAGAACUCUCAGGAAACUUCCUCUCUUCCCACCAAAAAUAAUUAUAUAGUUAUCCUUGGGCGAUCUUGAAUCUUAAUUAGUACACUCACGUUCCCUGUGGAAAAUCGAUACUCUGGAAUACUCCCGGGUGAA